CUCCUCCCCUCCUCCCCUCCCUCCAUGUUCUCCGGAUAAGCUCCGGGUUUCUACUGAGGGCGGGCGGGCGGCCAGCUGGGGAUGGGGUGGCUCGCGGAAUGCAGGGAAAGGGGUCUCUGGAGGGAAGAAUUCCGCCGAAGUUGCCAGGAGGUGUUUCUGUCUCGAAGCGGGAGGCUCUGUGCGGAGGGGGUCUGCAUAGACGCGGCUGGGCUGUGGGGUGGGGCAGAGAGACCGUAGAUCGCGGACAGAGGACCGAAGAGAGACGGGGCUGAGGAGCUGCGGCAGAAGGGAAGAAACGAGAGAAGGCAAGAGGCCGAGCCGCACCGUCCCCGGUUCCCUCUGCGCCAGGAGCCUCCGAGACUCGGCCCAGCCCGCUGCCGCGACCCCGCGGGCCUCCGCCGCCCCUCGGCCCAGGCCUCCGGCCGCGCUCCCCGAUCCAUCAGCCGGUUCUGCUGUCGGAGACUCAACCCUGGAGAACAUCAAGUGGGCGGUCUUCGGCAGGCUAUCGAAGAAUUGUCGGUUUCACUGCUUGAGUCCUUCAAGAGUGAUGAGCCCUCCAUGGUGAAGAAUCUGCCUGCCAAU